ACAUCGGUAGCUCAGUUGGUAGAGCGUCGGUCUCCAAAACCGAAAGUCGUAGGUUCGAGCCCUACCCGGUGUGCCG
rnacentral:tRNA from 1 species